UAUCUUCGGUUGUGCCGGUUAAUGCAGCUUCGCUUAUGGCUUAGCAACCCAAUGGCAGAGCCACAUUUUUUCCCACGGAACCCAGACCCAUCGGAUUCAUAGAUCGAUAAGGAGUUAAAUACUAUAUCAGUCUGAAAAAAAAACAGGCUCAACCAUUUAACAGUCAGCUUAGCUAAUAGUUUGAUGAUCAAAUCUUAGUAUAUUAUGUGUCUGAAAAAAUAGUUCAAUAUAAAAAAGGUCAGCAGAUAACAUGCAUAUACAUGUAUUCUACUACCAACCAAAAGGACAGAGAAAUUUAAAUAAGUUUCGGCGCCAUAUACCGAAUCUAUUUUCUUAAAUUUAACCGAUAUUUACGAGUACCAACACUUUCUAUGCUAUUUAUACUGUGCAUACAAUAGUAGGUAAGUAGUACAUAGUAGCCGUAGUGUUUAAUAGCUACGAUCACUACGCGAUUUUAUUGCUAUGCCUAAUUAAGUGCUUUAAUAUUUUUAAACUGAGUCUCUAUUGUUCUAUAAGAUAUAAGAAAACAAACCCAUAAUUACGUGUGAAAUUUCGAUAUCAAUAGGUAUUUAAAUCCGCAGUACUAGGUUGUUAUUAGCACAUUCUCCUCAAGUAAGAUAAAUAAACAAUGUAAAGGCUCGCAAAGCGCCUAAGGCUGUGAAAUAAUGGGCAUCAACGAUAAAACAAGCGUAGGUACGGUACAGCGAGUCUUAUCUGGUAAUUUAUAUACAAGUGUUAAAGUUUUUUCAAAUCAUCGCUUUAAGUUGUACACCCCUAUGUUUAUUAUAACAUUAAAGUCUGCAGAAAUGUAUUUAGUUCGAAAAAUGAAAAUACUUAUUAACUAGUUUUUUUAAAAAUAAUUCAGUUAUUUUUAUUGUAAACAGCAUUUAGUACUUAUUAAGUACAAAUAUUGGGAAAUUGUAACUUGCUUUAUUUAAAUGUUCUGUCCCAGACAGUAUAAAAUGAAUGGCUUAAGGGCUUAAAAGAUGAAUACCUACCGGAGAUCUGGUUUAUGAUUUUGUUGUUUAUGUAGAAUGUUUUAUUUUGAUGAUCAUUGAAUUGAAAACAUAUUGCUUAAGCUUACGCACCUGGUGCUUAACCAAGAUGCCAAUCGUUUGCGCUACGACAACGAAUCGCUAUCUGUCUCUCUAUCGCACUAAUAUGUAAGAGUGAUAGAAAGUCAAAGCGUUUCGUUGUCGUAGCGCAAUUGAUUGGCAUCUUGGCUAGGCCCCCUGGACAGGCGGUGGCAGGCGAAUAGGUACUUGCUCUAGCAAAUGUGCAAAUGUAUGAGAGCGGUGAACAGCGUACUAAUAAUCAGAUAAAAAAAAUCAUAUACUGUUUGUUGCUGAAUGCAACUUCCCAAGUAGGAUAAAUAUUAAAUUACAUGGAAUCAAAUACGAGCUUUGUACCAAUCUUCUGCAGAACACAAGAAUGAUUUAAUUGUCUCUCGGACAGGGCAAAGGCGAAAGUUGCUAGUCGUUCAUUAGUUUUGACGAUUUAUAAUGAAACGCCAUUGUCUUAUUGAUACAUUAUUGGCAUUAUAUUAUGUGGUGAUCGCCUUUUGUUUGAUUUAGAUCAUCUUGAUGGUGUUUACACAGAGGCCUAUCAUCGAUUAUGCGGCGAGGCAACAUAUUGAUCGAACAUUAUUGUUCCUGCUAAGCAGUAUUUAUUUGGUACCUGUUGUAAUUGUGAAAGUAACGUUCAUGAGAUAACUAAAUCUGAUAGCAGAAGCCGUAAGUAUAACUAGCAGAACGAAUGACUAAGGAUUUUAAAGAUGUAAGAAUUUGAACUUUCGAUCUUAUUAUUAUGCGAUGUCAUUUAUGAAUUAUGAUCAUUGGAUUUAUAGUUCAUGGAUUGUGUCAUUUAUGUCUCUAUUGAGUUACAUGCUUAAUGUCGUUGGAGAUGACUCCAUAGAUACCCAGACAUUUGACGCGUCUUUAUCUAGCUCAUUAUUAAAUCGUAGUGAACACAAUGCAGCUAUUGACAAAUUAUAUUUAUUACUUCAUAGCAUUGUACCCGAUUUUACAUAAUAAUCGUAACUGAAUUUGCAAAUAUCACUCGUAAAUAAAAAAAUCCGCAAAUGCAUAUAUUUUUUUUUCAUAUAAUUAAUCACCUGUCAACAAUCUGUCCAACAGUUAAAAAAAGCAGUCAGAAACAAUUUGAAUAACAAUUCCAAUGUUUGUGGUUUACUAGUCACACUCGCUUAGCGUUUGACCCGUGAUCGCGAGAGGCAGUUUAAUGAGCUGUCAUAUUUGUCAACAUGUCAAGAUUGUUGACGGUUUGACGAAAGGUUUGGGUGUUAGCUAAGCAAGAUAUUUAAAAGCAAAACCAAUUUGGUAAUAAAGUAAUAAGAUAACCUAGGGAUAUUCAGUACAGUUUUCGUCUUAUGGUUGGGUCCGUAUAUCCGAUGAAAAUGUACGAUAAAAUUAUUCACGUCUAGUAAUUUUUGCAUAAACACUUUCAGAAAUUCAAUCGCGGCUAACACUGUGAAAUAGAAAACAGUAAUACUUAAUAAGGAAACCACAAUACAUCUCGCUCCAUAACUGAUUCAGUUUCGUCACAUUAUGACGUUACAUGAUAGAAGACGCAUUGUAACGGGUAUUCAUGCUGUCUGCGGUAUUCAGGAGCAAUAUUGAAUACCAAUUCAAUAAUCAUAUCAAUGCGAUGCAAGAGCGCUCACAAGCAAGCAAGCAUCAACAGCAAGGGCAAUUCGAUAUCAAUAUAAUGCUGAUACAUAUUUGAGAAUAAAGCUGCGGUUUGCGGUUCAGUUA